UUCCUACGGGAGGCAGCAGUGAGGAAUUUUGCGCAAUGGGGGAAACCCUGACGCAGCAACGCCGCGUGAGUGAUGAAGGCCUUCGGGUCGUAAAGCUCUGUCAGAGGGGAAGAAGUGCGGGGGUGCUAAUAUCGCCCUUGUUUGACGGUACCCUCAAAGGAAGCACCGGCUAACUCCGUGCCAGCAGCCGCGGUAAUACGGAGGGUGCGAGCGUUGUUCGGAAUUAUUGGGCGUAAAGCGCGUGUAGGCGGUUUGGUAAGUCUGAUGUGAAAGCCCCGGGCUCAACCUGGGAAGUGCAUUGGAAACAGUCAGACUUGAAUGCGGGAGAGGGUAGUGGAAUUCCUAGUGUAGGAGUGAAAUCCGUAGAUAUUAGGAGGAACACCGGUGGCGAAGGCGGCUACCGGGACCGAUAUUGACGCUGAGACGCGAAAGCGUGGGGAGCAAACAGGAUUAGAUACCCCAGUAGUCCU
rnacentral:rRNA from 1 species